CUCGUACAGGAAGAUAUGUGAAAACAAAUAAGAAGCAAUCCAGGCAUAGGAGAAAACCAAACCACAUCAACUAGAAAAGGUGAAAUGAAUGUGGUGAUUUACUUAUUAGUUCUCAAAAACUAUUGAAAACUCAAUGGUAUACCAUUUCACCCUAUUACAAACAUACAAACCUUUCCUGCUGUUUUGGGUGUGAGAAGAUUCCAUCCCAUUGCCCUCGGUGGGAUUGGAUCCUGUUGGUGCAUCAAAAGAUUUCAUAGUAUCAUUACAAG